AAGGUAGAAGCACAACUGACCCAGUUGUUUUUCGGCUCUCAAGGUCAGUGUGUGCUUGUGCAGCUUCAGAUAAAGGGUAUGUAUGAUUAACACGAACCCGUAAAGCGCCAGAUUCUACAUUUGCAAAUACCUCUUUAGCAGCCUCUAGUAGCUCGUCCCGGAUUAUGGUAUAUUGCAUGAGGGAAGGCCUUGUUAAGAACAGAGAUUUCGCCGCAAGUGCUGAGAGUGGAACUGGGUCAGGUGUACCGGACGAUUGUCCAAAACUCACCAUGUAGCCACGAGUUUUUAGACAUGCCAAUGAUCCCUGAAAGGUAUCCUUUCCUACAGAGUCAUAAACAACAUUAACUCCAUUUCCAG
rnacentral:misc_RNA from 1 species